UACGAAGGGGGCUAGCGUUGUUCGGAUUUACUGGGCGUAAAGCGCACGUAGGCGGAUUGGUCAGUUAGGGGUGAAAUCCUGGAGCUCAACUCCAGAACUGCCUUUAAUACUGCCAGUCUCGAGUCCGGAAGAGGUAAGUGGAACUCCUAGUGUAGAGGUGGAAUUCGUAGAUAUUAGGAAGAACACCAGUGGCGAAGGCGGCUUACUGGUCCGGUACUGACGCUGAGGUGCGAAGCGUGGGGAGCAAACAGG
rnacentral:rRNA from 1 species